UACCGAGUGCUGUGUGAGGGAAGGAAGGCGCAAAGGACAACGUGGGGGAGGGCGGGCUGGAGUCCUAGUAGAAGCUGCUGAGAAGAGAAAUGUCCCUAGGUUCAAGUGGGUUGGAGAGAGGCAGCCUGCAGUGGUGGUCUAGGUCCCUGUACCUCUGAUCCCUGGCUCUAGAGCCCGCAAAGUGGACACAGCAGUGGGCAAUUAUAAUAUUGAGCGCCACGAGGAGAGAAGCCAGUUGAAGAGGUCAGGAGUAUAAAGGGAAGCUCUGGUCAUUGGCAUUGCCACGAGGGCAGUUGGGAAGGCGUUAGAAAUUUCAUAGCCCAAAGUACUAGGGAUGUAGUAAGACUCAUACCUUGAGACUGCCCUCGUACACAAGUUAUUUACAGGAGGCUGCUUAGCUUUGCACGUGACUUACUUCUCUUCCUUCAUAAAGCAAGUGUUUAUUAAUGACCCACUACUAAGAGACAAGCACUGCAUACCGGAAUGGGGUGAUUCUGUGACUAACCCAGGUAGGGACAGCUAUUGGUGUGAUUUUCAAGUGACUCAUCAAUAGUCCCAAUCUCGCCUUUCCGAAGAUUAUAUGAGGUCGAAAAUGCAGCUCUUACAAGAAAAAUCAUAUGUGGCUCACUAGCAUGGAAAGAGACCUGUUACUUUCAAAUGAAGUAAGGUUUAAGAAAGAGAAAACUAGUUCAAACCUAUAGAUUUAGAGGUGACCAAACCAUGCAGAGCAGUGCUGAAAUGGUAGUCAAACUGCUGGUGAGAGCUGUUUAUUAAUGAAAAUGACAGCAUGAAGUAGUGAACACUCCUAAAAGCCUUGUUCCUCAAAGUCUUAGAGACAGAUAUACCCUGUACACUUAACCUGGCAGAUAUUUCUGCCCCAACGCCUACCAACGACUUUGAGUUUCCACCCCCUCAAAGAGCGUUUUUCUCCAUUUGGAAAAGCUUCCAGUUUUCAAAAAAGAGGCCAGCUACAAGUGACUACUUGCUUUGUUGUACUUACCCCAACACACUUUAUUCUCACCAAGAUGAUGGAGCUCCACAGCCCCAUGGUCAGGCUCCCUGCUCAGCAGG